GGGGAGUUGACCGAGUGGCUUAUGGUGGCGGUCUUGAAAACCGUUGACGGUGAGAGCCGUCCGUGGGUUCGAAUCCUACACUCCCCGCCA
rnacentral:tRNA from 1 species